rfam:Botryotinia fuckeliana T4 unplaced genomic scaffold BcT4_SuperContig_X2_V3_B__V4, whole genome shotgun sequence.
GGGGCUGUAACUCAGUGGUAGAGUGCCUCGUUUGCAUUAUCAGAUAUCUUCCCAGAUACAUCUGAAAAAUCUCGAUGAAGUCCAGGGUUCGACUCCCUGCCGCUCCA